UUGGUAAGAUAGAAAGGCAGAACCUUUCGUCUCUCUCAUCAGCAUCUCUUCGUCUCUCUCUUGUCUUUAAACCUAGAAAGAUCCGCCAUCGACGAACUGUGCGACCUACUCCGGCGAAGGAAUUCUGACGAAGGACAGCCAUUUCGGCUAAUUUAAGGGAAUCUCAAAUGUAGAUUAUCGGUAUUUUUUCGUGUUUGAUAUUUUCUGUGGUUGUUCGCUUUCGCUAUUGUUUCGCCGCUUCUUCUGUUUUCUUUCUCUGUUGACUUGUGGUGAUUCUCUGAUCAUAGAACCACAUUUUGGCAAAGAACAACCUCAGACCAGAUCUUAUUCUCACUUUGUUUGGUCAGGAUCUGUUUGGGUAUCUUUCAGCUUCGGGGAAAUGACGGUAAAGAAUAAUAAUGCAACAACUCCUAGUCCAACAAUCUUGGUUACGGAUGAGUUUCUAAAAUUCCUUCAAUAUCAUAAAUCAGUUAAGGACUUCUUCAGUCACUGCCUUUGCUGGGUCAGAUAAAACAUGUCUUAUCACCUCUUCCAACAAAUGGGUGAUCGAUUCAGGUGCUAUAAAUCACAUGACAGGAAUUGGAGGCCAUUGUAUGCAGUAGUAUAACUCUAUAGUGCUGCGCCAAAUUGCUAAUAUUCUGGUGCUUCUUUUGUUCUUCUGGUGCUUAAGCAAGCAAAAUUGGUCUUUGAACAGACAAGACUUAAAGACAAGAAAUGAGACUUAAGACAAGAUGAUAGUCCUGAUUUGAUAGACAUGAGUCAAGAAAGACCUUCAAAGCCCAAAAGAAAGACAAGCGCGACAUACACAAAACCUGGAACAAUGGCAUCUUUGGCAAACCAAAUAAGGACUUCGUUUAGCCAAAAAUAUGUUGUUCCUGCUAGACAAUCAAACAAAGAGCGGCCGAAUAUUAUAGAAGAGAAUCUGCCACAAUAUCUAGGAGUAGUAGCCCAUGUACAAACUAGAUCAACCACUUCUACAAAAUUUAUUGUUCCUGCUAGACAAUCAAACAAAGAGCGUCCGAAUAUCAUCGAAGAGAAUCUGCUAGUGCCACAAUAUUUAGGAGUAGUAGCCCAUGUACAAACAAGAUCAACCACUCCUAUAACACAAGUAAUAGAGGAACAAGUAGAGGAACAGGUACAGGUGGAUUCUCUCCUAUCGAAGAUGAACAAUGUGAAGAACAAGGCCCUUCUAAUCAAACAAAAAAAGAGGUAAAACAAAGAUGAAAAGUGUACAUGGACGACAUGAGCGUAAAUUGAUUUUACUUGACAGCUUAAAUCAACCCGUCGGUCCUAGUGAAUACGGUGUGAUAGAGCUUGGAAGCUUCCUCAGCACAUUGGGAAGGAAUGUGACUCUAUGUCCUCUUGAUAUUUUGGAUUGGAGGAAGAUGGACACAAAAGAGGAUAUAUGAGAAUAUACCAAGGAUAAAUAUGAUAUUCCCGAAGCUGGAAAAAAAUAUAUUUUGGAAUCUAUUCAAGCUGCCUGGAGAAAGCACAAGAGUAGAUUGAAAAAAGAUCACUUUGACGCCUAUAAAAAUGAUGAAAAGCUCGAAUGCAACAUAUCCCUGAAGAUGUUCCAGUUUCUCAGUUUAAGGAACUCCUUAGGUAUUGGAACUCUGAGAAACUCCAGAAAAUAUCUAAAACUAACAUUGAGAAUCGGAAAAAGUUGAAGAAUCCUCACACUGCUGGAAAAAGAAGUUUUGCUUUAUUUCGCUCUAAGUUGGUGUGUAACUAGCAAAUCAUGGCAAAAUAAAUUCAGUUUUAGCUUUUGUUUUGUUCAUGGUAGAUCAGCAGGAAUGCUGACUCACUUUCAUGUAACUAAGAAAACGACAAGGAAACUUCGGAUCCUUUAUCAGCAAAGAAAGUCUUUGUAGCUACAAGAAAAAGAAAAGCUGGUCGAUCAUACAAGUCCUCGGAUGAAGAUACAACUAGUAAAAUCGCUGAAAUGGAGGAAAUUGAAGCACAACAAAACGAAAAUGGCAAUGAGUCCGUAGAGGCAUUUGCAUCUGUCAUGGGACCUGAACAUCUGGGAUGUCUGAGAAUUUAUGGACGGGGGGUUACAAGAACUUCUUUGAGAGGGAAAGUAGGAUGUUGUGCACGGUAAAAUCAGAGGGUCCAAUUUCCCGUCGUUAUGAUGCCCCGUAGGUAUACUUCAUAAGGCUCGAGACUGGGGUCGAGGUUCACCUUCGAGGGUUGUCGACGCUCGACCUCGGGGUAAUGCAGACCAACAGCUAUAUUGGAAAAGAGGGGAAUUUCCAACGGGUGCAUGCAAUAGAGCCGGUAGAGUCUGUCAGGCUAGUCUAAGCCCGCGUCAUGACGUCAACUAGCUGUCUCAUCUCCAUAUCUUUGUAAUUAAUGUAUUUUGUACUAUGUUGGGAUUCCCCUCCUAUAUAAAGGGGAUCCUUGCCAUUUUGUAAACAUCUGUUGCCCCAUACUAAAUACAUAACAACAUUCUCUCUGCUCUCUAACACAUUCUUUUGAUA